AUGAACGCUGGCGGCGUGCCUAAUACAUGCAAGUCGAACGCUGGAGAUCUAGCUUGCUAGAUCGAAGGAGUGGCGAACGGGUGAGUAAUACAUAAGCAACCUACCCACGAAGACUGGGAUAAUCUCUGGAAACGGGGACUAAUACCGGAUAGGUAAUCGGAAGGCAUCUUCUGGUUAUUAAAGGUUAAAAACACUGGUGGAUGGGCUUAUGGCGCAUUAGUUAGUUGGUGAGGUAACGGCCCACCAAGACGAUGAUGCGUAGCCGGCCUGAGAGGGUGAACGGCCACAUUGGGACUGAGACGCGGCCCAGACUACUACGGGAGGCAGCAGUAGGGAAUUUUCGGCAAUGGGGGCAACCCUGACCGAGCAACGCCGCGUGAGUGAAGACGGCCUUCGGGUUGUAAAGCUCUGUUGUAAGGGAAGAACGGUAGAUAGAGAAUAUCUAAGUGACGGUACCUUACCAGAAAGCCACGGCUAACUACGUG
rnacentral:rRNA from 1 species